rnacentral:tRNA from 1 species
GCGUCGGUGGUUCAGUGGUAGAAUACUCGCCUGCCACGCGGGUGACCCGGGUUCAAAUCCCGGCUGACGCA